rnacentral:rRNA from 1 species
UACGGAGGGAGCUAGCGUUGUUCGGAAUUACUGGGCGUAAAGCGCACGUAGGCGGCUAUUCAAGUCGGGGGUGAAAGCCCGGGGCUCAACCCCGGAACAGCCCUCGAAACUAGAUAGCUAGAAUCAUGGAGAGGUUAGUGGAAUUCCGAGUGUAGAGGUGAAAUUCGUAGAUAUUCGGAAGAACACCAGUGGCGAAGGCGACUAACUGGACAUGUAUUGACGCUGAGGUACGAAAGCGUGGGGAGCAAACAGG